UACGUAGGGUGCGAGCGUUUGUCCGGGAAUUAUUGGGCGUUAAAGGGCUCGUAGGCGGUCUGUCACGUCGGGAGUGAAAACACGGGGCUUAACCCCGUGCCUGCUUCCGAUACGGGCAGACUAGAGGUAUGCAGGGGAGAACGGAAUUCCUGGUGUAGCGGUGAAAUGCGCAGAUAUCAGGAGGAACACCGGUGGCGAAGGCGGUUCUCUGGGCAUUACCUGACGCUGGAGGAAGCGAAAGUGUGGGGAGCGAACAGGA
rnacentral:rRNA from 1 species